AUGGAUGUAGCCAACUGGAUCAAGGCAAUGGAUUGUGAUUUUACCAUGCAAGGUUCAAUUCCAUCGUUCAUC
rnacentral:tRNA from 1 species